rnacentral:rRNA from 1 species
UACGUAGGGUGCGAGCGCUAAUCGGAAUUACUGGGCGUAAAGCGUGCGCAGGCGGCUUUGCAAGACAGAUGUGAAAUCCCCGGGCUCAACCUGGGAACUGCAUUUGUGGCUGCAAGGCUAGAGUACGGCAGAGGGGGAUGGAAUUCCGCGAGUAGCAGUGAAAUGCGUAGAUAUGCGGAGGAACACCAAUGGCGAAGGCAAUCCCCUGGGCCUGUACUGACGCUCAUGCACGAAAGCGUGGGGAGCAAACAGG